CACCUUCCGCUGCUCACGGAAGAGCGAGAAGUCCUUGUUUGUUCUAGGAACUUUUUGCCAGUGGCCUGUGUCUCAGAAGUGCUUCGGGGCCUGUGACCUCUAAGCAGAAGGACAUGCCGAGAAGUCAGACUUUUCUGAUCCAGAAAAAAAAAUCUUGUACAAAUAUCUGAAGAUACCUGAUUGACAUGGAUCAGCAGAAGAGGGUGAUCUGAGUUCCUCUGGAUGUGAGUUCAAAGACAGAAAUUUAUCUUCUUAGCAUCCUACAAGCCAGAAGGCCAAGAUGAAGAUGUUUGAUGGAAUGUGCAUUUUUACAACAGGAGACACUGGGAGCAGGAGGUGGCUCAGCAGUUAAGUGUGUAUUGCUUUGGCAGAACCUAGCUUGGUCCUAUCUAAAGCCUGUAACCGAGCUUCACUGGAUCUGAUACCUCUGGUCUCCUCUGGCUCCUGUACAUAUCCAAAAUUAAAAACAAUAAAAAUCAAUCUUAGAAAUUUUAAGAUUUCAUAAAUGUAUCAAAAGAUGGCCUAGUUGGCCAUCACUGCAAAGAGAGGCUCAUUGGACUUGCAAACUUUAUAUGCC
rnacentral:lncRNA from 1 species